rnacentral:tRNA from 1 species
GCGCCUGUGAUGGAAUUGGUAGACAUGCGAGAUUUAGGUUCUCGUACAGAGAUGCGUGUGGGUUCGAGUCCCACCAGGCGCACCA